rnacentral:tRNA from 1 species
ACUAUUUUGGCAGAAAAAAUGUAAUGGUUUUAGAAGUCAUGAAUAUAUAAGUUUAUUAUAUAGAUAGUA